UACGUAGGGGGCGAGCGUUAUUCGGAAUCACUGGGCGUAAAGCGCACGUAGGCGGCUUCUUAAGUCGGUGGUGAAAUCCUGGAGCUCAACUCCAGAACUGCCUCCGAUACUGAGGGGCUCGAGUCCGGGAGAGGUGAGUGGAACUGCGAGUGUAGAGGUGAAAUUCGUAGAUAUUCGCAAGAACACCAGUGGCGAAGGCGGCUCACUGGCCCGGUACUGACGCUGAGGUGCGAAAGCGUGGGGAGCAAACAGG
rnacentral:rRNA from 1 species